UCUUACUCAUUGUGGUCCCCCUUCUAUCAAGUCAGCUAUCAAGUCACCCUCACUGUGUGGAUGCUCUUGUGGAGGUGCUUAAAUCUUCAUUUCCAUUUAAUCCUAUUUCUAUACUUCUAUUUUAAAAUUAAAUAUUUUAUUAAAAUUAAAUAUUCAAUAUUACAUUAGCUAAAAUAAAAUAUAAGAUUUUAAAAUUAAAAACAUUACAACAAUUGAAAAGGUGAAAAUGAAAAAAAGUUUAAAAAAUUACUAGGAUUUUAAAAGAAAAAAGAUAAAAAAAUUAAAUUAAAAAACAAAAUUUUAAACCCACCCCACCCCACCCCCCGCUUUUUUUUCUUCUUUCUCCCCCAUCCUCUGCGACUAUAACUGCUUCUCUAUUUCUCCACCUAGCCACUUUUUUUCAUUUUUCAUUUCAAGCACGUGUAGCACACGAAAUCUCUC
rnacentral:lncRNA from 1 species